rnacentral:rRNA from 1 species
UACGGGGGGAGCAAGCGUUGUUCGGAUUUACUGGGCGUAAAGGGCGCGUAGGCGGCCAGCACAAGUCAGUUGUGAAAUCUCCGAGCUUAACUCGGAAAGGUCAACUGAUACUGUGCGGCUGGAGUGCGGAAGGGGCAACUGGAAUUCUUGGUGUAGCGGUGAAAUGCGUAGAUAUCAAGAGGAACACCUGCGGCGAAGGCGGGUUGCUGGGCCGACACUGACGCUGAGGCGCGAAAGCCAGGGGAGCGAACGGG